GAACCCUGUCUUGUCUCCAUUUCUCAUGUCUCUUGUCCCUCCUCAUCCUCACUCCCCCUCGAGAGUCCUCGUUGCUUGACCUGCGGGACGGAUCAGGCCUCUGGAUAAGAACCUAGCCUGCUGACAUCUUGACUUCCAUCUGGUAAGACCCUAAGCAGGGAAUCUAGUAGAGCCUGUCUGGACUUUGGACCUACAAAAUUGGGAUAAUAAAUAGAAAUGAUGUUAUGAGAGAGACAGGGAAAACUGUUUGCAGCACCGUCUUUGAGAAGGCAAGAGUGCCUCAAAUCUAGUAUCCAAUGAAGAGUUGGCUAAGAGAGUCAUCAUCUACACUAACAUCGGUGAAAACAGAGUACAUGGGAAUAGAUGUAUGUGUGAUGUUAGAUGUGAUGGCAGGUGGUUUUACAAGUUCUCUUCUCACUGAUUAAAUUUGCUUGGUGUAAUAAUAAUGCAAAAUUAUAAGGUAAGGGUGAAGAAGGAAUUGGGAACAUUUGGACAUUUGCAGAGAAAGAAGUUGUGAAGUACUAAUCCAGGGGUAUGUGUGAAUAUCCUUUGACCUUACUUGAGGGA